CACAACUGAAAACUUACGAAUCCCAUUAAAAUGGACGCUGCCGUGCUUUCAUUUCAGCAAAGCUGUCCACAAUGUUUUCAAUGUUAAGUUUUCUAGCUCUCUCAUUUUCAAUACUUAACAGAGCUAGGCCAGAUAGUCUCUGUUGUGACAUUGUGCUUCUCAAGUAGUUUUUUUAACUUUAAUUUUGAAAAGGACCUUUCUGCACUUGCAACUGUAACUGGAAUGGUGAGGAAUAGUAGGAACGCUAUGCACACAUCUUGAAGAUUGGAUGACAAUGCACAGUUUUCAACUAAUAGAAGGUGAGAAAGGUCCUUUACAGUGGAGCAUCUCCGAAUCUCUUCCUGAAAUGUUGAACGGAAACUCAGAAGCUGUUCUGGGAAAGAAGGUGACAUGUCCUCUGGGUAGCAUUCCUGUAGCUGUGAAGCAGCUUUGAACAAAUCAUCAGUUUCAGAGGCAAGGAUUGUAGGCUGAAGUAUAUUAAAUCUCUGCAUGACAUUGCUCAUUCCAGCAAAUCGGUUAGACAGCUGGUUGGUCACAAUGUCUAAACACCUAUAAAACACAACGGUUUUAAAGCAUUGUUCAGGAUCCUGCAACCUUUCAUCAACUGAAAGUUCAUCAAAGUGACGCUUUACUUUUCU